rnacentral:rRNA from 1 species
GUCUACAGCCAUGCCACCCUGAACAAGCCCGAACCCUUCUGAUCUUGGAAGCUAAGCAGGGUCGAGCCUGGUUAGUACUUGGAUGGGAGACCACCUAAGAAGACCAGGUGCUAUACAUG